GAUGAAGAACGUAGCGAAAUGCGAUAAGUAAUGUGAAUUGCAGAAUUCAGUGAAUCAUCGAAUCUUUGAACGCACAUUGCGCCCGCCAGUAUUCUGGCGGGCAUGCCUGUUUGAGCGUCAUUUCAACCAUCAAGCUCUGCUUGCGUUGGGGAUCCGCGGCUGCCCGCGGUCCCUCAAAACCAGUGGCGGGCUCGCUAGUCACACCGAGCGUAGUAACUUUACAUCGCUAUGGUCGUGCGGCGGGUGCUUGCCGUAAAACCCCCCAAUUUUUAAGGUUGACCUCGGAUCAGGUAGGAAUACCCGCUGAACUUAAGCAUAUCAAUAAGCGGAGGA
rnacentral:misc_RNA from 1 species